ACGUUCUAGAGAAAGGCUCCUGUGUUGUUGAACCUCCCCAGCUGUGGGUGCAACCCUAUACAGGCAGCCGGACCCUGACCUAGAAUUCAGUAAGAGCUGUGAGUAUGUUAGCAGCAGCCUGACAAUCACAUAUGGUACUGUAAAUAGAA
ensembl:snoRNA